GCGCCGGCGACUCGCCGAAUGAGUUUCUGACCUAUCAACUCGAGACGGCGGGGUAGAGGCCCGCCGCGGUAACGACGGGUAACGGGGAAUCAGGGUUCGAUUCCGGAGAGGGAGCCCGAGAAACGGCUACCACUUCCAAGGAAGGCAGCAGGCGCGCAACUUACCCUAAUCUCGAUUCGAGGAGGUAGUGACAAGAAAUACCGAUGCGGGACCCUACGGGUGCCGCGUUCGGAAUGAGUACGAUUCGAACCACCUAACGAGGAACGAUCGGAGGGCAAGUCUGGUGCCAGCAGCCGCGGUAAUUCCAGCUCCAAUAGCGUACGUUAAAGUUGCUGCAGUUAAAAAGCUCGUAGUUGAACGUUCGGGUUCCGCGGGACGGGGCCGCCCCGCGAGGGACGGCGCCGCCCCGGGGCUCGUGAUAUCUCAUCUCGCCGCCCGUCGCGAGGCGGACGGAGGGAUGGAUGAGGUUACCUG
rnacentral:rRNA from 1 species